rnacentral:rRNA from 1 species
GACGAACGCUGACGGCAUGCCUAAUACAUGCAAGUCGAGCGAACAGAUGAAGUGCUUGCACUUCUGACGUUAGCGGCGAACGGGUGAGUAACACGUAAGGAAUCUACCUAUAAGCGGGGGAUAACAUUCGGAAACGGGUGCUAAUACCGCAUAAUAUCUUCUUCCGCAUGGAAGAAGAUUGAAAGACGGCUCUGCUGUCACUUAUAGAUGACCCUGCGGUGCAUUAGUUAGUUGGUGGGGUAACGGCCUACCAAGACGAUGAUGCAUAGCCGACCUGAGAGGGUGAUCGGCCACAUUGGGACUGAGACACGGCCCAAACUCCUACGGGAGGCAGCAGUAGGGAAUCUUCCGCAAUGGGCGAAAGCCUGACGGAGCAAUGCCGCGUGAGUGAAGAAGGCCUUCGGGUCGUAAAACUCUGUUAUAAGAGAAGAACAAAUUGUAGAGUAACUGCUACAGUCUUGACGGUAUCUUAUCAGAAAGCCACGGCUAACUACGUGCCAGCAGCCGCAGUAA